GAGAAAGCUUGCUUUUUCUAGGCGUCGACCGGCGCACGGGUGAGUAACGCGUAUCCAACCUGCCCAUCACUUGGGGAUAACCUUGCGAAAGUAAGACUAAUACCCAAUGAUAUCUCAAGAAGACAUCUGAAUGAGAUUAAAGAUUUACCGGUGAUGGAUGGGGAUGCGUCUGAUUAGCUUGUUGGCGGGGUAACGGCCCACCAAGGCGACGAUCAGUAGGGGUUCUGAGAGGAAGGUCCCCCACAUUGGAACUGAGACACGGUCCAAACUCCUACGGGAGGCAGCAGUGAGGAAUAUUGGUCAAUGGGCGAGAGCCUGAACCAGCCAAGUAGCGUGCAGGAUGACGGCCCUAUGGGUUGUAAACUGCUUUUAUAAGGGAAUAAAGUGAGCUACGUGUAGCUUUUUGCAUGUACCUUAUGAAUAAGGACCGGCUAAUUCCGUGCCAGCAGCCGCGGUAAUACGGAAGGUCCGGGCGUUAUCCGGAUUUAUUGGGUUUAAAGGGAGCGUAGGCCGGAGAUUAAGCGUGUUGUGAAAUGUAGAUGCUCAACAUCUGCACUGCAGCGCGAACUGGUUUCCUUGAGUACGCACAAAGUGGGCGGAAUUCGUGGUGUAGCGGUGAAAUGCUUAGAUAUCACGAAGAACUCCGAUUGCGAAGGCAGCUCACUGGAGCGCAACUGACGCUGAAGCUCGAAAGUGCGGGUAUCGAACAGGAUUAGAUACCCUGGUAGUCCGCACGGUAAACGAUGGAUGCCCGCUGUUGGUCUGAAUAGGUCAGCGGCCAAGCGAAAGCAUUAA
rnacentral:rRNA from 2 species